CUCUGUGACUCCUACGGGAGGCAGCAGUGGGGGAAUAUUGCACAAUGGGCGCAAGCCUGAUGCAGCAACGCCGUGUGAGUGAAGAAGGUUUUCGGAUCGUAAAACUCUGUCCCUAAGGGAAGAAACAAAUGACGGUACCUUAGGAGGAAGCCCCGGCUAACUACGUGCCAGCAGCCGCGGUAAUACGUAGGGGGCAAGCGUUAUCCGGAAUCACUGGGCGUAAAGGGUGCGUAGGCGGCUUAGCAAGCCAGGGGUGAAAGGCAUUGGCUCAACCAAUGUAAGCCUUUGGAACUGUUAAGCUUGAGUGCAGGAGAGGUAAGUGGAAUUCCUAGUGUAGAGGUGAAAUUCGUAGAUAUUAGGAGGAACACCAGUGGCGAAGGCGACUUACUGGACUGUAACUGACGCUGAUGCACGAAAGCGUGGGUAGCGAACAGGAUUAGAUACCCUGGUAG
rnacentral:rRNA from 1 species